rnacentral:rRNA from 1 species
GAUGAACGCUGGCGGCGUGCCUAAUACAUGCAAGUCGAGCGAACAGACGAGGAGCUUGCUCCUCUGACGUUAGCGGCGGACGGGUGAGUAACACGUGGAUAACCUACCUAUAAGACUGGGAUAACUUCGGGAAACAGGAGCUAAUACCGGAUAAUAUAUUGAACCGCAUGGUUCAAUAGUGAAAGACGGUUUUGCUGUCACUUAUAGAUGGAUCCGCGCCGCAUUAGCUAGUUGGUAAGGUAACGGCUUACCAAGGCGACGAUGCGUAGCCGACCUGAGAGGGAGGUCGGCCACACGGGAUCAGAGACACGGUACAGACUCCUACGGGAGGCAGCAGUAGGGAAUCUUCCGGGAUGGGCGAAAGCCUGACGGAGCAACGCCGCGUGAGUGAUGAAGGUCUUCGGAUCGGAAAACUCUGUUAUUAGGGAAGAACAAAUGUGUAAGUAACUAUGCACGUCUUGACGGUACCUAAUCAGAAAGCCACGGCUAACUACGUG